rnacentral:rRNA from 1 species
AUGGAGACCUGUAUGAAUGGCACGACGAGGGCUUAACUGUCUCCUUUCCUAAGUCAAUGAAAUUGAUCUCUCCGUGCAGAAGCGGGGAUAAACCCAUAAGACGAGAAGACCCUAUGGAGCUUCAGACACUAAAACAGCUCAUGUUAAGAACCCUCACAAAAGAGACUAAACUAGAUGACCCCUGUCCUAAUGUC